AGUGAACGCUGGCGGUAGGCCUAACACAUGCAAGUCGAACGGCAGCACAGUAAGAGCCUGCUCUUACGGGUGGCGAGUGGCGGACGGGUGAGGAAUACAUCGGAAUCUACUUUUUCGUGGGGGAUAACGUAGGGAAACUUACGCUAAUACCGCAUACGACCUACGGGUGAAAGCAGGGGAUCUUCGGACCUUGCGCGAUUGAAUGAGCCGAUGUCGGAUUAGCUAGUUGGCGGGGUAAAGGCCCACCAAGGCGACGAUCCGUAGCUGGUCUGAGUGGAUGAUCAGCCACACUGGAACUGAGACACGGUCCAGACUCCUACGGGAGGCAGCAGUGGGGAAUAUUGGACAAUGGGCGCAAGCCUGAUCCAGCCAUACCGCGUGGGUGAAGAAGGCCUUCGGGUUGUAAAGCCCUUUUGUUGGGAAAGAAAAGCAGCAGGUUAAUACCCCGCUGUUCUGACGGUACCCAAAGAAUAAGCACCGGCUAACUUCGUG
rnacentral:rRNA from 1 species